rnacentral:rRNA from 1 species
AGAGCGAACGCUGGCGGCAGGCCUAACACAUGCAAGUCGAGCGCCCAGCAAUGGGAGCGGCAGACGGGAUAGUAACACGUGGGAACGUACCUUUCAGUUCGGAACAACCCAGGGAAACUUGGGCUAAUACCGAAUACGCCCGUAAGGGGAAAGAUUUAUCGCUGAAAGAUCGGCCCUCGUCUGAUUAGCUAGUUGGUGGGGUAAUGGCCCACCAAGGCGACGAUCAGUAGCUGGUCUGAGAGGAUGAUCAGCAUCACUGGGACUGAGACACGGCCCAGACUCCUACGGGAGGCAGCAGUGGGGAAUAUUGGACAAUGGGCGCAAGCCUGAUCCAGCCAUGCCGCGUGGAUGAUGAAGGCCCUAGGGGUUGUAAAGUCCUUUCGGCGGGGAAGAUAAUGACGGUACCCGCAGAAGAAGCCCCGGCUAACUUCGUGCCAGCAGCCGC